rnacentral:rRNA from 1 species
ACGGGGACCCGCACAAGCGGUGGAGUAUGUGGUUUAAUUCGAUGCAACGCGAAGAACCUUACCUGGCCUUGACAUCCCGGGAAUUUCCUGGAAACAGGAGAGUGCUUUCAUUAGAGAGAACCUGGAGACAGGUGCUGCAUGGCUGUCGUCAGCUCGUGUCGUGAGAUGUUGGGUUAAGUCCCGCAACGAGCGCAACCCUUGCCUUUAGUUGCCAGCAGUUCGGCUGGGCACUCUAAAGGGACUGCCGGUGUCAAACCGGAGGAAGGUGGGGAUGACGUCAAGUCCUCAUGGCCUUUAUGGCCAGGGCUACACACGUACUACAAUGGCCGGUACAAAGGGCAGCGACAUUGCGAGAUGGAGCGAAUCCCGAAAAGCCGGUCUCAGUCCGGAUUGGAGUCUGCAACUCGACUCCAUGAAGUUGGAAUCGCUAGUAAUCGCGGAUCAGCAUGUCGCGGUGAAUACGUUCCCGGGUCUU